AGACUCUGUGCGCGUGCAUAUCAAUAAGCGGAGGAAAAGAAACUAACAAGGAUUCCCUUAGUAACGGCGAGUGAAGCGGGAAGAGCUCAAAUUUGAAAUCUUCAAGGUUCUACCUUGACGAAUUGUAGUUUAUAGAAGUGUUUUCUGUCAGUGGAGUAGGCAAAAGUUCUUUGGAAUAGGACAUCAUAGAGGGUGAGAAUCCCGUAUUUGGACUAUUCCUUCUAGCGUUGUGAUACACUUUCAAAGAGUCGGAUUGUUUGGGAAUGCAGUCCAAAAUGGGUGGUAAAUUUCAUCUAAAGCUAAAUAUUGGCGAGAGACCGAUAGCGAACAAGUACCGUGAGGGAAAGAUGAAAAGAACUUUGAAAAGAGAGUUAAACAGUACGUGAAAUUGUCAAAAGGGAAGCGUUUGACACCAGUGUUGUUUUUCCGAAAAUCAAUUACGAAUGUUUUGUUUUUAAGAAGUUAUGACUUCAUCGGCUUGCUUCUCUCUUUACGAAGCUUUCUUAAUGCACUUUUCGGUUAACAAGUCAACAUCAAUUUCUUUUGUUGUAAAAGGGUAUGAGGAAGGUGGCCUUUCUUUUCGGAGAAAGUGUUUAUAGCCUUGUGCCUCUACAAUCGGAGAGAUUGAGGUCUGCAGCGUAGAUCCUUCGGGGUUAGAUACGUUUGUACUAAGUUAUAGCUUUUCAUAGACAACUUGUUGACUAUGUUUAGUCUCGUAGCUUACUCGCUGACGCUAUUUUACCUACGCUUAGGAUGUUGAAGUCAUCGUAUCGCGC
rnacentral:rRNA from 1 species